UUCCAGGGGUGGGAAUCGAACCCACAACCUUCUGCUUACCGGGCAGGUGCCAUGUCCACUAGGCUACCCUGGA